GACAGAGGAUGCAAGCGUUAUCCGGAAUGAUUGGGCGUAAAGCGUCUGUAGGUGGCUUUUUAAGUCUGCCGUCAAAUCCCAGGGCUUAACCCUGGACAGGCGGUGGAAACUACCAAGCUGGAGUACGGUAGGGGCAGACGGAAUUCCGGGUGUAGCGGUGGAAUGCGUAGAGAUCCGGAGGAAGACCGGUGGCGAAGGCGGUCUGCUGGGCAGUUUCUGACACUGAUGCGCGACAGCGUGGGGAGCAAACAGG
rnacentral:rRNA from 1 species